GCAUUGCUGAUGAAUAAUACAGGAUUUAUUUCUUGUUUAUGUCUACAGGUGGCAGUGUUGAAGCCGAAAGCUUCUAAAGAAGUGGUUUCAGAAAAAUUAAGAGUUGAAUGUAUAUGAGUAAGCAAACGUAGGAAUCCAAAAAACCACAGCCUGGGACAGAUCAAGCCUAGUACCUUUCCAGCACUUAAGAAGAGUUCAUGCCCAAUCGAUUCACUAUUCAUCUUGAUUCCAUCAUGAAGGAAUGAAAUGCAGAUAACUCGUUAGCAAACUUUUGUGGGAAAAAAGUGCCUUGUGCGAUCAGAACAAAGCCGUUUUAUAAUCAGAUUUACCAAGCUGAGAAGAGGGAGUUUCAGCAAAUGGAAGCUUCAGCUUUCUGUCACCAGGAAACACUGCGUUAUCCAGAAUCGGAAUUGUUAAAGCAUACUGACUACAACUGGAGACAAAAAUGGAACCUAAGAAAAUAAAAUCACUUGGGAAGGAUGUGAAUUCAUAUAUCUUUUCUCUUAAAGUUGUUUUGAAAAGUAAGUACUUGCCAUUCCUAAUUGUUUUUGUUUUGCUUUUUUUUUUUGUAAUCUGAUACUGAAAGCGUUGAUUUGUGCAUAAAGUAUAUAUAGUUACUGCCAUCUGGGAGUUUGCAUUUUAAGUGACAUGGCAUGGGUAAGAACAGACAUAAAACAUAUACACACCAUUAUAUAGACAACUAGACUAGAUCUAGCCUGACAACAAAUGGAGCUUGAUAUUCAUAGAUCUUACCUGAGUGGAUGUUAUUUCAUGAUAUCUGAACCCUUGUCCAAACUCUAUAUCAUCUGGCCUGACUAGCUAGUGAUGUAUUCCUGUUAACCUUUAUAUUCUUGUUUAGCAAGAGUCCCAUCUGCAUAAAAGAGUUACUUCUUUUGUCAUUUUGGUUUGGUUCAGCUGGGAGGGAUAGCAUCAUUGCUUCAGGCUGAAAUGGACUAAUCUGUUUCACUUGUGGGUAAGGAGAAACGAAUACUUUGAGAACAGUGUGGCGUGGGGGAGAAAGGACACAAUUGCUGCCUUUCAUCCUUCCCUGCCCUGGCUCAGGAUCCCAGUGUGGAAAUGGGGAUGCUUAGGACUUAAUGAGCACAUUUAUUUCCUUGGAUGAGUUGCAUAGGGAACCAAAAGGAAGAUGAAGAAAUGGACAUGUAGGAAGUAGGGAAGUCCUAGGGGAGUGAAGAACCCGUUGCUUUCAAGCCCAGGUGUCAGCCCUUUAUUCUCCCUGGUGGCUGGGACAUGCUGCCCCACCCCUGCUUCCAUCCUAUGAAUCAAGUGACUGCUUAGAACUGAGCACCACUUUGCUGAGUAACUGAGGAGAGUGAGGAAUUCAAGAAUGGCCUUUUAAGGCACCAUUUUGUAUGAAUCAUCCUGCGUACAUCUCUCUACUGAAUCUACUUCUAGAAAUAGAGAGCUACCUUCUUGUCUUGAAGACAACAGCACACAUUGUCUGUAAGCAUUGUGUUGUGCUCACUCCUUCCUCCGAGGCCUAAUCUCCUGUCCUUGGUCCUUCUUGUAUGUUCCCUGAAAUUUCCCUCUCCUGCCAUGUAAAUCCAGACAACUUUCUGCCUGCAUUCUAUUUCUGCCUUUGAAUUGAGUCUCUUCGAAACAAUUGUGUGGUGGCUGGGCACUGCAAAAUGAGUCAGUUCCUACAGUUUGGUUACAAGUUCUCAAAAAGUAUUUCAGAAUGUGGAUGUGGUCAGCAGAGUCAUUUUCCAGGCAUCUAAAAGGAAACCCACAUCAACUGUAACAAUUGAGCUCUGACCGGAUGGUGCCAUACAACAGAACCAAGGCCUAUUUUCUCUUAGAGCAAUGCCUAGAGCCAUACACGAAUUUAUCUGCUCCUAGCACAUCUUCAAUGGAAAGUCUUGUUCUUGUUUGCAGGUCACAUUUUAUUUGCCACCAUUUGAAAAACAAUGUGACACAGGUUUUAACCUUAUUUACUUUUGGAUGUUGGUCUGAAUUUGAAAAAUUAUUAAUUAUUUUUAUAAACUAGAAUCAGUGAGACUAGAGUAUGAUUAGUAGAUGACUUGAAGUAUGACUUAUGGAUGAAAAGUGGGUAAUUUUUCUGAGGAAUAACCAAGGGGCACUUUUAGAUAUCAUGUAGUACAUAGGAUUACCUCAUUUCCUAAUUAUGUUCUGGAUCUUUCAGCGUUGGUCAUAUAAAUAAUUAAAUUCUUUUCAAGCUUUGAAGAUGUUUCAAGCUCAUCAACAACAGAAUAUUUUAGCUUAGCAUGGGCUUUAGAAAAAUCUUUUGUGGCUAUUUACUUACUUGUGUACCAUAAGUUCUGUAAAAUCUGAUUGAGCUGGUCUUCAACCAUUCAUGAAAGCUGAUGACAUUUUCAAUAAUAAAAAAAAAAGCAAGAUUAAAACAUGAGCAAAGGGUCUCCACAGAUCCUUCACAGAAGAAGAUACCCAUAUUGGAGAUAAGUGCAUGAAGGUGUUCUACAUCAUUAUUCAUUGGGGAAAUAUAAGUAAUAACUACAUACUGUUUGAAUGGCUGAAAUGUAAAAAGACUGACCAGCAAGUAGAAGUUGAAGAUGCAGAGAUUUGGGGCUCUCGGUGACAUUUAGGAAGAAAUGUGAAAUGGUAGAAACAAUUUAGAAGACAAUUUAGCAAUUUCAUAAAAUGUCAGACACAUACUUACCAUGUGACCCAGAUGUCCUAUUUAGAGAGACAAGAAAGCAAUGUUGUAUGUGAAUGCCCAUAGCAAUUUUAUUAGUUAUAGUCAAAAACUAGAAAAGCACAAAUGUCCAACUGCAAGUUAAUGGGUG
rnacentral:lncRNA from 1 species